UCUCUAGAAAUGAUAAGAUGUAUUGAUCAUGGCUCAGACGAAGGCUGGCGGCAGGCUUAACACAUGCAAGUCGAACGCGAAAGUAUCUUUCGGGAAAUGAGUAGAGUGGCGCACGGGUGAGUAACGCGUAAGUAAUCUACCUGGUAUUUGGGAUAACCCACCGAAAGGUGUGCUAAUACCGAAUACGCUGAUUUAUCAGGAACGGUGGCCUCUUCAUGAAAGCUACUGUACCAGGAGGAGCUUGCGUACCAUUAGCUAGUUGGUAGGGUAAAGGCCUACCAAGGCGACGAUGGUUAGCGGGUCUGAGAGGAUGAUCCGCCACACUGGAACUGAAACACCGGACCAGACUCCUACGGGAGGCAGCAGUGAGGAAUAUUGCGCAAUGGGGGAAACCCUGACGCAGCGACGCCGCGUGGAUGAUGAAGGCCUUCGGGUCGUAAAAUCCUGUCAGAUGGGAAGAAGUGUAUAUCUGCUAAUACCAGGUAUAUUUGACGGUACCAUCAAAGGAAGCACCGGCUAACUCCGUGCCAGCAGCCGCGGUAAUACGGAGGGUGCAAGCGUUGUUCGGAAUUACUGGGCGUAAAGCGCGCGUAGGCGGCUUUUUAAGUCAGAUGUGAAAGUCCACGGCUCAACCGUGGAAGUGCAUUUGAAACUGGGGAGCUUGAGUAUUGGAGGGGGUGGUGGAAUUCCCGGUGUAGAGGUGAAAUUCGUAGAUAUCGGGAGGAAUACCGGUGGGCGAAGGCGACCACCUGGCCAAAUACUGACGCUGAGGUGCGAAAGCGUGGGGAGCAAACAGGAUUAGAUACCCUGGUAGUCCACGCCGUAAACGAUGUGAACUAGGUGUUGGGAUGGUUAAUCGUCUCAUUGCCGCAGCUAACGCAUUAAGUUCACCGCCUGGGGAGUACGGUCGCAAGAUUAAAACU
rnacentral:rRNA from 1 species